ACGGGUGCCGACGUUGACACGUCUCGGUUCACGCGUUAUAAAAAGUGAUAUUUUUGACAGUCUCGGACGUGUGCAGCGAGGCGUGCACAUUGUAGGGGUGUGUCUUUUCUGCAGUACGGUGGUAGGCUGGAGCCAGGCGAUGCAGGCGCAUGGCUAUGCUGCUACGCAUUUGCAUUACAUGAGAAAGGGCUGCGUCGCCCACAUUUAGGAGUAGACUAAUCCGUUUUCUCGCCUGUCCAUGCGGUUUGGUCAUCCACUGCUUUAUGCGCACCCGGGAUCUCGGAUAGAUGGCUUAAAUUGAGGCAAUCCAGGGCUUUGAGGAACAUCCAACUCUUUAAUCACCAAUGAGCAUCUUUGGAUAUCCUGCUUGAGGGACAGCCACCCUGUUCCACUUACAUCUGUCAUCAUGAGAUGCCUUAGGCGGCUGGCCAAGACCCACACAGACUCACAUCCCCUGGGUAAUCUGCACUUUGUAUUGAGCAUUAAAUCACUAUCAAUAUAACUCUCUCUCUCUCUCUGGCUCAGAAUGUUGUAGGUUGACCACAGAGCAUCAAUGAAUCCCCUUCACCCUCAGGAACCAUCUCAGCGCCACUGUCUGCAACUCAACCCUGGAUUUGCUGAUGAGCAGGUCAGUGCUGGUAAAGAUUAGCGCCUUCUCCUCUCUUACUGUAAAGCAUGCCAGUGCUCACUGGUCUCACCUUAGACUAUUACACAGCAGAAUGCCAAUCUCUGAAAAUGCCACUGCAGCAAUAGGGGUGCUAAGAAGAACGGAAAUUAGAGUGUGCGGUGCAAAACAUAAAAACUUAGUGCAGAGUAUAAAUCUCAAUAUAAAUCCAUCUGUUUUUGUAAUGACUUCAGAGGCCUGUUAGAGAAUAUUAAUGAGCAAAGGGCUCCAAACAAACAAAAUAGAUCCCACCCCCCUGGAAGUUCAGGGACAAAGUGGUGGAGAAGUUUAAAGGAGGGUUAGGGCUAUUCAUGCUGUCACCUCAUGAAGGGAGGAGUGAGACACAACUGCAAACUGCCCAAAACGUGGCACACAAACUAAACUGAUCAGCCGGGGAAGGAGAGCGUUCAUCAAAGAAGAAGCCAAGAGACACACGGCAACUGUGGGAGCUCCAGAGGGCCUCGGCUCAGGUGGGAGUAUCAGUCUACAAGCCGUUUAUUAGCUGUCCACUCCCCAAAUUAGGUUUUUCAGGGAUAGUGGGAAGAAGAAGAAAACCCACUGGAAGUUUGGCUAAAGACUGCCACAAGCCAUUUAGGGACACCCUAAACUAGUCAAAUGAUAUGCUGUGUAAACAUGCAAAAUGCUACGUGUGCUGGAAAGCAAACACUACACAUCACCAUUCCUGUGUGAAACAUCUCCACAUCUUCCAAAUCCUAGAAUCCUUAGAAGCAAAAUACUUAAGACUGGAGAGGAUGUUCACUUUCUGCCCCGACAUACGGCCAGAGCUAUAACGGAACGGUGUAUUAAUAACCAUGCACACGUGUUACCAUGGACUAGCCAAAGUCCAGACCUAGAUCCAACUGAUCCAACUAGAUCAACAUUUGAAAUUCUUCAUCCAAUCUGACCUAAGCUUGAGACAUAUGAAAAACAUGUAUAGGCAAACAAUUCAGCCGCCAGAUGAGGUAUGAAUACUUUCUGAAGGGCCUGUCUCUUUCAGGAGCAUCCUGAUUUAGGAAACUUUUUUUUUCUUAAUCCAGAUGAAACGAUAUUUUACGCACCUUCAAAACCCAUGAACCCGGACAUUGAUCCACCUCUGACCCUUUGUCAUGUAUGCAUGCAGAAACGGUUCUCGGGCCUGCACAGAAACUUUCUGAUGACAGGACGAAGCAAAAGGGGAUGACAGUGGGAUACAGGAAAUAACAAGGUCGAGGAGGAAGCGCUCGGAUCGAUCUGAUGGAAGUGGAGAGAGUCAGCAGUUUUGAGUCCCCUCGGAUCAAUAUUAGUCGGUGAUGUAAACAUGGAGACUGACCAUGGCUAUAAACAUGCCCAUAGUCCUCCACAUGUGCAGCACUGAGAGCUGCAGCUCCUGGGUCAAAUAUAUGUGGUGUGAUGCACAGCUCUGCUCUGCAAAUCUAUGCAGCAGGGUGAUGUAAACAGCACAGGUUCUCAAAGGAAGUAAACAGCCAAUGCAGGGGAGGGGGGGUUUACCAAGAGAGACGCUCAUGGAGCUCCCAACACACCCUGGCCACAACCCUGGCAAUCCUGAGAGCUUUGGAAAACAUUACAGGUAAGAAUUUCCAGUGGUUUCAGGACAGCAUCGGUGCUCCACUCGUGCCUUUUCCUGUCUACGCAAAACACAAUAUCGUAGCAGUUGUUUGUGUGUGUGUGUGU